AGUGAACGCUGGCGGUAGGCCUAACACAUGCAAGUCGAACGGCAGCACAGUAAGAGCUUGCUCUUACGGGUGGCGAGUGGCGGACGGGUGAGGAAUACAUCGGAAUCUACUUUUUCGUGGGGGAUAACGUAGGGAAACUUACGCUAAUACCGCAUACGACCUACGGGUGAAAGCAGGGGAUCUUCGGACCUUGCGCGAUUGAAUGAGCCGAUGUCGGAUUAGCUGGUUGGCGGGGUAAAGGCCCACCAAGGCGACGAUCCGUAGCUGGUCUGAGAGGAUGAUCAGCCACACUGGAACUGAGACACGGUCCAGACUCCCACGGGAGGCAGCAGUGGGGAAUAUUGGACAAAGGGCGCAAGCCUGAUCCAGCCAUACCGCGUGGGUGAAGAAGGCCUUCGGGUUGUAAAGCCCUUUUGUUGGGAAAGAAAAGCAGCAGGUUAAUACCCCGCUGUUCUGACGGUACCCAAAGAAUAAGCACCGGCUAACUUCGUG
rnacentral:rRNA from 1 species